rnacentral:rRNA from 1 species
UGCAAGUCGAACGGCAGCGGGGGAAAGCUUGCUUUCCUGCCGGCGAGUGGCGAACGGGUGAGUAAUACAUCGGAACGUGCCCUGUAGUGGGGGAUAACUAGUCGAAAGAUUAGCUAAUACCGCAUACGACCUGAGGGUGAAAGUGGGGGACCGCAAGGCCUCAUGCUAUAGGAGCGGCCGAUGUCUGAUUAGCUAGUUGGUGGGGUAAAGGCCUACCAAGGCGACGAUCAGUAGCUGGUCUGAGAGGACGAUCAGCCACACUGGGACUGAGACACGGCCCAGACUCCUACGGGAGGCAGCAGUGGGGAAUUUUGGACAAUGGGCGAAAGCCUGAUCCAGCAAUGCCGCGUGUGUGAAGAAGGCCUUCGGGUUGUAAAGCACUUUUGUCCGGAAAGAAAUGGCUCUGGUUAAUACCCGGAGUUGAUGACGGUACCGGAAGAAUAAGGACCGGCUAACUACGUGCCAGCAGCCGCGGUAAUACGUAGGGUCCAAGCGUUAAUCGGAAUUACUGGGCGUAAAGCGUGCGCAGGCGGUUGUGCAAGACCGAUGUGAAAUCCCCGGGCUUAACCUGGGAAUUGCAUUGGUGACUGCACGGCUAGAGUGUGUCAGAGGGAGGUAGAAUUCCACGUGUAGCAGUGAAAUGCGUAGAGAUGUGGAGGAAUACCGAUGGCGAAGGCAGCCUCCUGGGAUAACACUGACGCUCAUGCACGAAAGCGUGGGGAGCAAACAGGAUUAGAUACCCUGGUAGUCCACGCCCUAAACGAUGUCAACUAGUUGUUGGGGAUUCAUUUCCUUAGUAACGUAGCUAACGCGUGAAGUUGACCGCCUGGGGAGUACGGUCGCAAGAUUAAAACUCAAAGGAAUUGACGGGGACCCGCACAAGCGGUGGA